GACGAGGGGUCCAAGCGUUGUUCGGAAUCAUUGGGCGUAAAGCGGGCGUAGGUGGCUAUGUAAGUCAGGAGUGAAAGCCCUGGGCUCAACCCAGGAAGUGCUUUUGAAACUGCGUAGCUUGAGUGUGGAAGAGGAUAGUGGAAUUCCUGGUGUAGUGGUGAAAUACGUAGAUAUCAGGAGGAACACCGGCGGCGAAGGCGGCUAUCUGGUCCAACACUGACACUGAGGCCCGAAAGCGUGGGGAUCAAACAGG
rnacentral:rRNA from 1 species